UAGUAACGGCGAGUGAAGCGGCAAUAGCUCAAAUUUGAAAUCUGGCGCUUGCGUCCGAGUUGUAAUUUGUAGAGGAUGAUUUUGGUUAGGUACCUUUCGAGUUCCUUGGAACAGGACGCCUUAGAGGGUGAGAGCCCCGUACGAUUGGAUGCCGAGCCUCUGUAAAUCUCCUUCGACGAGUCGAGUAGUUUGGGAAUGCUGCUCUAAAUGGGAGGUAAAUUUCUUCUAAAGCUAAAUACCGGCCAGAGACCGAUAGCGCACAAGUAGAGUGAUCGAAAGAUGAAAAGCACUUUGAAAAGAGGGUUAAAUAGCACGUGAAAUUGUUGAAAGGGAAGGAUUUAUGACCAGACUUUUUCUAGGAGAAUCAUCCGGUGUUCUCACCGGUGCACUUCUUUUAGUUUAGGCCAGCAUCGACUUUCGGCGGUGGAUAAAAGCUUUAGGAAUGUGGCUUCUCUCGGGAAGUGUUAUAGCCUAUUGUAUAAUACACUGCUGGGGGUCGAGGUACGCGCUUCUGCAAGGAUGCUGGCGUAAUGGUUAUCAAUCACCCGUCUUGAAACACGGACCAAGGAGUCGAACAUUUGUGCGAGUGUUUGGGUGUUAAACCCUCACGCGUAAUGAAAGUGAACGGAGGUGAGAGCCCUUACGGGUGCAUCAUCGACCGAUCCUGAUGUUUUCGGAUGGAUUUGAGUAAGAGCAUAAAUGUUCGGACCCGAAAGAUGGUGAACUAUGCGUGGAUAGGGUGAAGCCAGAGGAAACUCUGGUGGAGGCUCGCAGCGGUUCUGACGUGCAAAUCGAUCGUCAAAUCUGCGCAUGGGGGCGAAAGACUAAUCGAACCAUCUAGUAGCUGGUUAC
rnacentral:rRNA from 1 species